GGAGUACCCGCUGAACUUAAGCA
rnacentral:rRNA from 1 species